ensembl:lncRNA
CCCAGCACUCACACGCAAACACAUCGCAAAACACCCUAUUAUGAAGUGAACUCGUGAACAACGGGAGGCGUGAUGAUCCGAGAGCCUGGAGGGAUGGACAUCCCUGUGCUCCAAUGAGGCUCUCCGAGAGUCCUAAACAGGAGCCUCCUCCAUCAUACAACACUGCAUGACUCCAACCAGUGCAAGUCAUCCGAGUAAGGUCGGGUCGCGGCGGCAACAGCUACGGCACGAGACCCCAAACUUCCCUUUUCCGGGCCACAUCUACCAGCUGUGACAGGGGGAUCCCAAGGCUUUCCCAGGCCAACGUGGAGAUGUAAUCCCUCCACCUAGUCCUGGGUCUCCCCGGGGCCUCAUCCCAGCUGGCCGUGCCUAGGGAGGUGAACCAAAUCAACUGACUCCUGUCAAUGCAAGCUCUACUCCGAGCUUCUCA